rnacentral:rRNA from 1 species
UACGGAGGGAGCUAGCGUUGUUCGGAAUUACUGGGCGUAAAGCGCACGUAGGCGGCGACUCAAGUCAGAGGUGAAAGCCCGGGGCUCAACCCCGGAACUGCCUUUGAAACUAGGUAGUCUAGAAUCUUGGAGAGGUCAGUGGAAUUCCGAGUGUAGAGGUGAAAUUCGUAGAUAUUCGGAAGAACACCAGUGGCGAAGGCGACUGACUGGACAAGUAUUGACGCUGAGGUGCGAAAGCGUGGGGAGCAAACAGG